rnacentral:lncRNA from 10 species
AGUUGUCGUUAGCAGGGGUUCACGGCAGUCGUUUUCUUCCGUUUGCUUGUGUCUUUGGAAUAAAACGUCCAAAAAUGGGAUGUAUGGAAUCUUGCUAUAGGAGUUCCCAACUUACAGCGAUGACGUUCAAGGUUUUUUAUUUUAUUAUUAUUUACUUUUGAGACGGAGUUUUGCUCUUGUCGCCCAGGCUGGAGUGCAAUGGCGCGAUCUCUGCUCAUUGCAACCUCCGUCUCCCAGGUUCAAGCGAUUCUCUUGCCUCAGCCUCCUGAGUAGCUGGGAUUACAGGCGCCCGCCACUAUAUCCAGCUAAUUUUGUGUGUGUGUGUGUGUGUGUGUGUGUGUGUCGUUCUGUCGCCCAGGCUUGAGUGCAAUGGCGUAGUAUAGGCUCACUGCAACCUCUGCCUCCCAGGUUCAAGCGAUUCUCCUGCCUCAGCCUCCCGAGUAGCUGGGAUUAUAGGCGCCUGCCAUCACACCCGGCUAAUUUUUGUAUUUUUAGUAGAGACGGGGUUUCACCAUGUUGGCCAGGCUAGUCUCAAACCCCUAACCUCGUG